ensembl:misc_RNA
UCAUAGUUCUGGAGACUGAAAUUCUUUCUUUGUUCACAGAGCAGAUACAGCAUGGAAAGAGGCUGUGCAAUGUUCCUGUUUGCCUAAACCCUGACUUGGAGGGACCACCAUUAAGAAUCAGAGGUUAGUUCAGUGUCCAUUUGACCUGUCUCUCUGCUAAG